rnacentral:rRNA from 1 species
UACGUAGGGUGCGAGCGUUAAUCGGAAUUACUGGGCGUAAAGCGUGCGCAGGCGGCGCGUUAAGACAGGUGUGAAAGCCCCGAGCUUAACUUGGGAAUUGCGCUUGUGACUGGCGUGCUGGAGUGUGGCAGAGGGAGGUGGAAUUCCACGUGUAGCAGUGAAAUGCGUAGAGAUGUGGAGGAACACCGGUGGCGAAGGCAGCCUCCUGGGCCAGCACUGACGCUCGAUGACACGAAAGCGUGGGGAGCAAACAGGAUUAGAUACCCGU